GACGAACGCUGGCGGCGUGCUUAACACAUGCAAGUCGAACGGAAAGGCCCUGCUUUUGUGGGGUGCUCGAGUGGCGAACGUGUGAGUAACCCGUGAGUAACCUGCCCUUGACUUUGGGAUAACUUCAGGAAACUGGGGCUAAUACCGGAUAGGAGCUCCUGCUGCAUGGUGGGGGUUGGAAAGUUUCGGCGGUUGGGGAUGGACUCUCGGCUUAUCAGCUGGUUGGUGGGGUAGUGGCUUACCAAGGCUUUGACGGGUAGCCGGCCUGAGAGGGUGACCGGCCACAUUGGGACUGAGAUACGGACCAGACUCCUACGGGAGGCAGCAGUGGGGAAUAUUGCACAAUGGGCGGAAGCCUGAUGCAGCAACGCCGCGUGCGGGAUGACGGCCUUCGGGUUGUAAACCGCUUUCGCCUGUGACGAAGCGUGAGUGACGGUAAUGGGUAAAGAAGCACCGGCUAACUACGUG
rnacentral:rRNA from 1 species